GUGGGGAGGAACAGCAAGCCACGAAUCACGUCUCUACAGCUUCCCCCAGAGCGUAGCAGCAUUGAAGUGUUAAAGAAGUUUCCAUGCCAAGAAUUCUCCAUGCUGAUGAAAUCAGAGUUCAUCCUGAAAGCACGUCCCAAACAGUUUUUAGGGAAGGGGUUAAACAAGAAAGUGUUCAUGGAACUGGCAACACUAUAGAUUUUGUGAAUCAUUGAACAUCUUUGUGGGCCAUCAUCAUCAUCAUUAUCAUCACCAUCGCUACAAUCAAGCUUGUUUAAUACCUUCCUCAUCUCCUGAGGAAAUGAAUACUCAUCUUUUGGAGAAGUUAAUAUCUAGCAGCAGGAACUUGUGGUGUGUAGAGAAGACCUAGGAUAACUGACUGCAGGGGUCAACAUUGGGCAGGCCAGGACAAAGCUGACCCAGGAGCUGAUUGGCCCCAGCUUCCUGAUCAUGUGCAGGAAUAAAAAGUCUCAGUCACAUGGAGUCUAAGGUUCUCAGAUAUGACUGCAAGCUCCGUGACAGCAGAAAUGAACAAAGAAGAUUUACCUCGAGCCCCCAAGCGGACGAUAGGCUGUCACAGAAAUACCUUUCG